CCUACGGGGGGCAGCAGUGAGGAAUAUUGGUCAAUGGCCGUAAGGCUGAACCAGCGAAGCCGCGUGAGUGAAGAAGUAUUUCGGUAUGUAAAGCUCUAUCAGCAGGGAAGAAAAUGACGGUACCUGACUAAGAAGCCCCGGCUAACUACGUGCCAGCAGCCGCGGUAAUAUGUAGGGGGCAAGCGUUAUCCGGAUUUACUGGGUGUAAAGGGAGCGUAGACGGUGCAGCAAGUCUGAUGUGAAAGGUCGGGGCCCAACCCCGGGACUGCAUUGGAAACUGUUGAGCUGGAGUACAGGAGAGGUAAGCGGAAUUCCUAGUGUAGCGGUGAAAUGCGUAGAUAUUAGGAGGAACACCAGUGGCGAAGGCGGAUUGCUAGACUGUAACUGACAUUGAGGCACGAAAGCGUGGGGAGCAAACAGGAUUAGAUACCCUGGUAGUC
rnacentral:rRNA from 1 species